rnacentral:miRNA from 1 species
ACCUACACACGGCUCCUUAAGA